CGUAGUCAACCUGCCCUGAAGACACGCAUAACCCCGGGAAACUGGGAUUAAUUCGUGAUAGGCCAUCUCAUCUGGAAGGAGAGAUGACUUAAAGGGAUGCGAGAGCUUCUUUCUUGUAUCCGCUUCAGGAUGGGACUGCGGCCGAUCAGGCUGUUGGUGGGGUAAUGGCCCACCAAACCUGUAACCGGUACGGGCCUUGAGAGAGGGGGCCCGGAGAUGGACACUGAGAGAAGGGUCCAGGUCCUACGGGGCGCAGCAGGCGCGAAACCUUCACAAUGCGCGAAAGCGUGAUGAGGUUAAUCCGAGUGGUCCCCGCUGAGGGGAUCUUUUGUCGGCUGUAAAAAGGCCGGUGAAUAAGGGGAGGGCAAGUCUGGUGUCAGCCGCCGCGGUAAUACCAGCUCCUCGAGUGGUCGGGGCGAUUAUUGGGCCUAAAGCAUCCGUAGCCUGUUCUGCAGGUCCACUGUUAAAUCCAACGGCUUAACCGUUGGCCCGCAGCGGAUACCACAGGACUAGGANGCGGGAGAGGUGGACGGUACUCCACGUGUA
rnacentral:rRNA from 1 species